GACGUAGGGCGCGAGCGUUGUCCGGAUUUAUUGGGCGUAAAGAGCUCGUAGGCGGCUUGUCGCGUCGACUGUGAAAACCCGCGGCUCAACCGCGGGCCUGCAGCCGAUACUGGCAGGCUUGAAUCCGGGAGAGGGAUGCGGAAUUCCAGGUGUAGCGGUGAAAUGCGUAGAUAUCUGGAGGAACACCGGUGGCGAAGGCGGCAUCCUGGACCGGCAUUGACGCUGAGGCGCGAAAGCCAGGGGAGCAAACGGG
rnacentral:rRNA from 1 species